AUUGAACGCUGGCGGCAUGCUUUACACAUGCAAGUCGAACGGCAGCGCGGGCUUCGGCCUGGCGGCGAGUGGCGAACGGGUGAGUAAUACAUCGGAACGUGCCCAGUAGUGGGGGAUAGCUCGGCGAAAGCCGGAUUAAUACCGCAUACGACCUGAGGGUGAAAGCGGGGGAUCUUCGGACCUCGCGCUAUUGGAGCGGCCGAUGGCAGAUUAGCUAGUUGGUGGGGUAAAGGCCUACCAAGGCGACGAUUUGUAGCUGGUCUGAGAGGACGACCAGCCACACUGGGACUGAGACACGGCCCAGACUCCUACGGGAGGCAGCAGUGGGGAAUUUUGGACAAUGGGCGAAAGCCUGAUCCAGCAAUGCCGCGUGUGUGAUGAAGGCCUUCGGGUUGUAAAGCACUUUUGGCGGGAACGAAAAGGACUGUGCCAAUACCACGGUUCGAUGACGGUACCCGCAGAAUAAGCACCGGCUAACUACGUG
rnacentral:rRNA from 1 species